CAGUAGAUGGCGCACGGGAUUAAUUUAGCGCUAGUCCUCCCGGGAGAAGCAGUGAUUGUUUGAAACGCGUUCGUGCUUCCCUUUGCCACAGCGGUGAAAAUGAGCGGUGAACAACAGGAUAUUGAGAAGGACCUUUGUCAGGAAGUAGAGGCCCAUGGGGUGUUGGGUCGGUAGAGAGACAAAAAGAAAGACUAGAGGAUCACCUUUCAGAAUGUCACCUUGUAAGGAGGGUCGUCUGGCGGAUGGGUGCGUGGAGGGGGAGGCAGCCAAGUGCCACACACACACACUCCUUAAGACUUAUGAGUGCAUCAUAACCUUGACCAAGACAAUCUGUUCAACGACACUUAGCGAAGAUUCCUCAUGAUGUCCCUCAGAGCCGCUGGGACUCGGCUCCUCUGUUCUUUCUGAGCGCUAUCAGCUCAGCGCCAGAUCGCCGCCCUUACCGUUCAACGGCCAUUACUCCAUUUGCAAGAUAAAUCUGGACUGCCGUGUCAAAUCAAUCACAACUGUCAUU